GUGCUCGCUUCGGCAGCACGUAUACUAAAAUUGGAACGAUACAGAGAAGAUUAGCAUGGCCCCAGCGCAAGGAUGACACGCAAGUUUAUUCAGAUGCAGGAACACUGU
rnacentral:snRNA from 1 species